rnacentral:rRNA from 1 species
AUUGAACGCUGGCGGCAGGCCUAACACAUGCAAGUCGAGCGAGAGGCGGACGGGUGAGUAAUGUCUGGGAAACUGCCUGAUGGAGGGGGAUAACUACUGGAAACGGUAGCUAAUACCGCAUACCAUCAGAUGUGCCCAGAUGGGAUUAGCUAGUAGGUGGGGUAACGGCUCACCUAGGCGACGAGCCCUAGCUGGUCUGAGAGGAUGACCAGCAACACGUGAACUGAGACACUGUCCAGACUCCGACGGGAGGCAGCAGUGGUGAAUCGUGCACAAUGGGCGCAAGCCGGAUGCAGCCAUGCCGCGGGUGUGAAGAAGGCCUUCGGGUUGUAAAGCACUUUCAGCGGGGAGGCGUUACCCGCAGAAGAAGCACCGGCUAACUCCGUGCCAGCCGCCGCGGUAAUUC